GAUUUGUCUGGUURAUUCCGAUAACGAACGAGACUCUGGCCUAUUAAACUUGACACUGUCAGUCUCUUAUGACUGCGGUGCGCUUCUUAGAGGGAUCAUCGGCGUCCCAGCCGAAGGAAAGGGAGCAAUAACAGGUCUGUGAUGCCCUUAGAUGUUCUGGGCUGCACGCGUGUUACACUGAAGUGGUCAGCGCGCCGUUCAACACCCCUCUCCGUGAGGAGCUUGGGCAAACGUUUGAACCCUUUUCGUGAUGGGAAUUGGGGGUUGCAAUUGUCCCCCAUGAACGAGGAAUUCCAAGUAAGCGCAGGUCACUAGCCUGCGUUGAUUAAGUCCCUGCCCUUUGUACACACCGCCCGUCGCUACUACCGAUGGAUGAUUUGGUGAGGUCGCCUAGACUGGCUGCUGGCUUCGGCCGUGCGGCCGGGAAGACGCCCAAACUUGGUCGUCUAGAGGAAGUAAAAGUCGUAACAAGGUUUCCGUAGGU
rnacentral:rRNA from 1 species